CCCUAGCCUCAAAAAAAAAAAAACCAUCCUUUCUCUCCCCUCGCCCAUUCGUGCCGACGCGGCAACGUCAGCUCCGAUUCGCCGGCGACGCGCGCGGCAGGAUGGCUCCGUACCUGCUGAGGUCCGCCGUCGCCAUCCUUCGCCGACCUACCCCGCCGUCGACCUUCCUCCGCCGCUCUCCCAUCGACAGCUCCCGGUUCUUCGCCUCGGGUGGAGCUGUGAGGGUCGAACCCGCAAAGGAGCUACAGCUUUAGGGAAUUUCGGUUUGUGGCAAGCCUGACCACAACAGGAAGGGCCACUACAAGUACCAGGAGGCCCUACUUGGAGGAGGAUAUGAAAUAGAUGAAAAUUAUGAUGACCCUUCUUUUCUUCAGAUCCCUCACGGCAGCCACAAUCAAUGGUCUUGAACAUGGCACAAAGAGAGAGAUCAUUCAGAGCUCCUCAUAGAGAGCAUGGACCAUUGCCUCAGCAAUCCUCUUUUGUUGCAGCUGCAGGUGAUUCCAUUCCACAACCUAGAGUUAUUACAACCGAAAUGAACAUAGGCAGGAGUACAAGAGCAACCCGAAGAGCUGAAACAGGGGAAGGAUCACAACAUGUUGCAAGAGGUAAUAAAAGACAGAGGGGAGCUGGAAGAGGAGCUGCUGAUAUUGCAGGCACAUCUGUAGCUGCUGCUAGGGGAAGAGGAGCUGGAAGGGGAAGGAUCUCUGGAAGAACUGCAGGAGGUAGAGCUGGAAGAGGAGCUGGAAGGGGAAGGAACACUGCAGCAGCUAGUACUGGAAGAGGUGCUGGAAUAUCUUCAGGUGUUGACACAUCUUUAGGACUUGGAUUUGGUACUGGAAGAGGUGCAUAUUACUGGUUGUUUGGAGAUGACAGGGCUACAGAAAUUCCAGAUCUCAACUUGUAGGCCAUUCCAUUAGUACACCUACAAGUUCAUGAAUGAACUUCAUUUUGUCUCACCAAAUGUAAGAGUUCAUGGAUGAACUUUCUUUAGUGAUGUAUUUUGUGACAGCAAACUCCAUGGUGCUGCUGCUAAACUUAAGUGUAUUCUGUGACAGCAAACUCUUUUAUGCUG